AGGAGCACACACGUCUGAUGGUUCGAAUGACAGUAAAUCAAUGACUUGAGAAAACUUUUGACGAUCUUCAUAAGAUGCAUCCAUUAGACUCCACAGAUCUGAUAAAGCUCUACCAAGAUGGUGAAUCUGCCAUUAGUAAGAUGUCUUAAAAGAUCGGACCUGCUUCACUCUCUCGUCUUUCCUCAGCCUCAUCUCACGCAGUGCAGGCGCAAUAGAAUCGAGCUGCUCUCUCAGUGUUCCUCCCUUUUUCUCCGGCUGUAUAGAGAAUGACAACAACAUUAUCUAUGAUAGUUUAGUCUUGGCUUUGAAUAUCAGCAUUCACAUAGUACAGACACCGUCUAGAGAAUCACUGUUUAAUGCAUGUUCGAAUAAUCUUUGCUUAACAAUGGAUAUUAAAGAAUGAAAAUUACCCUUCCAGGUACUGAUCUUUCACCGAGGCAUAGAAGAAGAUGAGUGAGUUCAGCUUCAGAUUCCGCCAGCUCUUGAUGUAGACGAGACCUUGAAAUAUUGGCAUGGUCAACUUUUCUCCGGACGUAUCUAACAACGAGGAGCUUCUCAUUCCUAUCGGUGUCUGAAGGGAACCCAUCUUCUGAUAGAUGAUUCUCCAAUGUUGGGAUUGAGGGAAUUGAGGUGUGAGAGCUUUGUGCUAUUGGUGCUGGUUUUGCUUUGAAGACAAGGGUGAAAGUGACACAUAUUCUGCUGCAAAAGCUUCCUGUUUAAGUGAUGGCUCAUCCGCAUCUCCCUCCUCUUCUUUGAUUCUUCAGUUUAGGUCUCUUUCUCUUUCUCUUUCUCAACUUAAUUUUAUUUAUAUAAAUAUGGUAAGGUUUAGGAGUCGCUUUUGUGCUGAUGCGUUUGCUUCUGCUGUAUGAAAAGCCAGAGAGAGAUGUUUUUGUUUAUAUGACAGAAAACUUGAUUCCUAAGCAAGCUCUGGUGCUUUUU